UGGGGAAUUUUGGACAAUGGGGGAAACCCUGAUCCAGCCAUCCCGCGUGUGCGAUGAAGGCCUUCGGGUUGUAAAGCACUUUUGGCAGGAAAGAAACGUCAUGGGUUAAUACCCCGUGUAACUGACGGUACCUGCAGAAUAAGCACCGGCUAACUACGUGCCAGCAGCCGCGGUAAUACGUAGGGUGCAAGCGUUAAUCGGAAUUACUGGGCGUAAAGCGUGCGCAGGCGGUUCGGAAAGAAAGAUGUGAAAUCCCAGAGCUCAACUUUGGAACUGCAUUUUUAACUACCGGGCUAGAGUGUGUCAGAGGGAGGUGGAAUUCCGCGUGUAGCAGUGAAAUGCGUAGAUAUGCGGAGGAACACCGAUGGCGAAGGCAGCCUCCUGGGAUAACACUGACGCUCAUGCACGAAAGCGUGGGGAGCAAACAGG
rnacentral:rRNA from 1 species